GGCGGGCGGACGGGGGGAGGAACAACGUAAAGCUUUCCACUUCCUGCAUGCAGAGGGAAAGCUUCUGAGAACCAAGCCCAUCAAUCGGUUCCUCUUUCAGUCAAAUCCGCGAAUUACUCCUCCACAGUGUUUAAUUCUUCCUGAUCCGACGGCGCUUCUCUCGCUCGCGAGAAGAUGAAGACGAUACCGGCGUUUGUUUACUGUACGGGCCUCGGAACGCCGUCGCCGGAAACAGCCAUCCUUAUCUGGCCUCAGACUCAUCUCCGGUGGCCGGGGGAACGCCGACACUCCUCUCCCUCCCUCCGGCCUGCGGCAGCGGGCAGGGACAAGUCAUGGCCGGCCUCGUAGACCGAGAAGGAAGGAAAUAAACAAAGCCCCGAUAAGCAGGGUCUGGCAGGAGGAGAAAAGACGGGAAGGGGACCUGAGGAAGGAGGGGUCAUCGUCUCUCCCGACUCCGGCGAACAGCCACAGCUGUGCGGCAAACCCACCCCCCGCCGUUAACGGCGAUCCUCACCGCCCACCGCCUUGGAGGGUGGGCCUUCCUCUUCUCGCCGGCCCCGACAGAGGCAUUAAC
rnacentral:lncRNA from 1 species